CGUUUCGUUGUUGAUCCCCCGUAGUUUUUUUAUAAUAUUUCCCAACUACUACCAGCUCACAAAUAUGGUCGAACAUUGCUGUACUUACAUGGCUGACAAUAAUCCUACCUUAAUUUUACAUUCUGCGGUUCCAGACGCCAUGUGUACGUUUUAACGCCUGAUUGGAGUUCUGUAGUAGCUUCAGAAAAUUUUAAUUCUUUGCCAUUCUCUGCCUUUAUUAUGUUGCUUUCUGCUACGCCGUCGUUUUCCAUUUUAAAAUGCUUAUAAUCUCGAUUCAGAACAGACACAAAUGGAAAGCAAUAACUGUUGAUAAUGAAACACAACACACUGCAAGCAUCAUUGAUCAAGAAUUUUCAAAACAUCAUUAAAUAUUCAAAAUUUUGCAACUUUGACCGAACGUAAUAUGCAAAUCUUAUCAUUGUUUUAUAACUGAAAUAGCUCGCAACGCCAAUAUUUGGAGUACCACAUUUAAAUAAAGGUUCAUAUUUUAUUCAUAUUUGAGUGUAGCGAUUGUAAUUUAAUCGCAGAAAUCUGUCCUGACAGUUCAAAAAUCUGUCCUUGGUAGUG